rnacentral:rRNA from 1 species
ACGGGUGAGUAACGCGUGGGAAUCUACCGUGCCCUGCGGAAUAGCUCCGGGAAACUGGAAUUAAUACCGCAUACGCCCUACGGGGGAAAGAUUUAUCGGGGUAUGAUGAGCCCGCGUUGGAUUAGCUAGUUGGUGGGGUAAAGGCCUACCAAGGCGACGAUCCAUAGCUGGUCUGAGAGGAUGAUCAGCCACAUUGGGACUGAGACACGGCCCAAACUCCUACGGGAGGCAGCAGUGGGGAAUAUUGGACAAUGGGCGCAAGCCUGAUCCAGCCAUGCCGCGUGAGUGAUGAAGGCCUUAGGGUUGUAAAGCCCUUUCACCGGAGAAGAUAAUGACGGUAUCCGGAGAAGAAGCCCCGGCUAACUUCGUGCCAGCAGCCGCGGUAAUACGAAGGGGGCUAGCGUUGUUCGGAAUUACUGGGCGUAAAGCGCACGUAGGCGGAUAUUUAAGUCAGGGGUGAAAUCCCAGAGCUCAACUCUGGAACUGCCUUUGAUACUGGGUAUCUUGAGUAUGGAAGAGGUAAGUGGAAUUCCGAGUGUAGAGGUGAAAUUCGUAGA